ACAAUCCAUCUAGAAAUGAUUGCAGAGCAAGCAGGUGAACCCUGAACCAUAAAAGCAGAGGAACAACUUGGGAGAAGCACGAAAGUCUUUAGUUCUGGAUGUAUGGUAUGCUAAGGCACGUCACACAUCCAGAGAGUGAAACGUUCUUUCAACGUCUGAAGAAGGAUUCGGGAAAAGGUGGAUGAUAAGAUUGACGCCUUUGAGUAGACCCCUGAGACCUGAAAGCAGACGAAGUGGAUGAUGCCUGUAUGGGCUUGAUGUGGCUCUGUGGUCUGUACGCACGGUUCUCCAUGGGACCAUUGGUUUUUUCAUUAAAUAAACCUGUGGCACUGAAAGGGAGCUCUUCUAUGUGAGAUUUAGCAUCCUCCGUGAUGUCUGAAGAUCUUAACCAGGCAUGUCAUCGCAAACAAGAUGCACCUCCUAAAUCGACCGGAUGGGGACAUAAAUCAGUACACUAGAGAGAAUUCAAAGACUCACAAAAAUGAGGAACUGAAGCCUGUGACCAAUUGGUUGAGGUCAGGAUGAGACAGAAGAUGGAAGUUGUAAAUCAGUCUGGGUCAGAAGCAAUUAAUUCUAAUAAACUGAAACAGUAGUCAGGAGCAGUCUACGUCAGUACUGAGUAGUCAAGGAGAUCCAAAAACCAAGCCAAAAGAGCAGCCAAAAACCAAUCCGAAGUCAAAUGAGAAAGCAAGUUCAGUCAGAAAACGCAGGAAGCAAACCAGUCCGAGUCAAAACACGACAGAGUAAAAUCAGUAGUCCGUUCAAUGAUCCGAAGUCAAAAGAGGGGCAACCAGAGUAAUAUCUAAAGCGUAAUCCAAACAGUCCAAGUAAAAAAAAAACCCAUUUUUUAAAAAAUGCAAAAUAGUAAAGCUCUAAGCCGAGAAGUUCCUAACACCUAGGCAGUAAAAUGGAACUGAAGGCUGAAGCAGAUGGAGGACAUGCUAUAGGGGCAACCCUCAAUAUUGUUACUUUUUUUCAGAAAAAAAAAGCUCUAGAAUAUUCCGAGGAGUCCUGCGCCAGCGCAGACUGUACAAGUAACUCAAAUGUGUGCAUUCACAGAGGGCAUGAAGAACUUGUAAGUAAAGAACAGUAUCAUUAUUUCUGUUUUAAUCGUGGAAGGGGUGGGGGGAAAUUGACCAUUUAUUUCUGGUUAGCGUUGAAAGAUCUUACUCAAGAUUUUAAAACAACUCACUCUGUAUCACAGCAAAACCAUGACUCCGCCAUAUGUUUCUGUUUCCCUGAAUCUGAUUAUAACACAUAUAUUUCAUGGUGAUCCAGUCCCCACUUUGCCUCUAAAAAUCUCCCAUUAGGGAGAAGUGCAAUAUGUUCUUAGUUCCCAACAUUCCUGAAGUAUACUACAAAGGCUACAUCUGUUCUAUGAUUGUCUGCUUUACAGCUAUUAAAUGCAA